GACAGAGGGUGCAAACGUUGUUCGGAAUUACUGGGCGUAAAGCGCGUGUAGGCGGCCCUGUAAGUCGGGUGUGAAAUCCCACGGCUCAACCGUGGAAGUGCACUCGAAACUACAGGGCUAGAGUCCUGGAGAGGAAGGUGGAAUGCUUGGUGUAGAGGUGAAAUUCGUAGAUAUCAAGCGGAACACCGGUGGCGAAGGCGGCCUUCUGGACAGCGACUGACGCUGAGACGCGAAAGCGUGGGGAGCAAACAGG
rnacentral:rRNA from 1 species